UACGGAGGGGACUAGCGUUGUUCGGAAUUACUGGGCGUAAAGCGCACGUAGGCGGAUUUGUAAGUCAGGGGUGAAAUCCCGGGGCUCAACCUCGGAACUGCCUUUGAUACUGCAAAUCUCGAGUCCGGAAGAGGUGAGUGGGAAUUCCUAGUGUAGAGGUGAAAAUUCGUAGAUAUUAGGAAGAACACCAGUGGCGAAGGCGGCUCACUGGUCCGGUACUGACGCUGAGGUGCGAAAGCGUGGGGAGCAAACA
rnacentral:rRNA from 1 species